rnacentral:rRNA from 1 species
ACGUAGGGGGCAAGCGUUGAUCGGAAUCACUGGGCGUAAAGCGUGCGCAGGCGGUUGUGCAAGACAGAUGUGAAAUCCCCGGGCUCAACCUGGGAACUGCAUUUGUGACUGCACGACUGGAGUGCGGCAGAGGGGGAAGGAAUUCCGCGUGUAGCAGUGAAAUGCGUAGAUAGGCGGAGGAACACCGAUGGCGAAGGCAAUCCCCUGGGCCUGCACUGACGCUCAUGCACGAAAGCGUGGGGAGCAAACAG